GCCGCAAGCGGGGACGGCCCCGCCCGGCCGAUGGGUCUGCACACGGGACGGCCCG
rnacentral:sRNA from 1 species